GGGGAGUUUUGGCCGUGAAAGCCCGGAUCGAAGCAAGAAGUGCUCCGGUUGCAGUUUUGGGAUUUUGCCGAUUCCCGGCCAUUCCGGCCACCUCCGGCCACCAUAUUCCCAUCGAAGGGUUCUUGGAGCUUCGGGGCUUUCCUUCACCGGCUUGAUUCGACCACGUCGAGGUAAAAUUGGUUGAUGUUGUAGUUGAGAAGUUGGUUGGGCUUGUUGUAUAGAUGCUAGUGCCGGAGUUUGGUGGUCAUCGGAGGAGGUCGCCGCCGGCGCGUGGUCCCCACGCGCCGCCACUGUGGGUAGCGCGUGGAGGCGCGUAGAGCAGUGUUUUAAUUCCGGUUUUUAGCCCAUUAAAUCCUAUUAAUUGUGUAGAGCUUGUAUGUGAAAUUUGGUAAUUUUUGGAGAAACUUAGAAUUAUAUAUGGAUUUUGAAAUUUAAGGUUUCGAUUAUCGAAUUACGAGAAUCCGACCGUCGGAUAUCUCUCGGUUCUGCCUUGGAACCUUUAAAUUAACGAAUUGGUAUUAGUGGUAUAAUUUGGGCUAAAUCCUAGGAGAAUGGAAGAUGUAAUUAUGAGGAAUUGAUUUUAAGAAUCGUAUUAAAUUGUUGAAGAAUUAAUCACGGAGUAUAAUUAUGUACAGGACGACGUACCGAGCUAUUGCUCGAUAACGGAACACGAAUGCGUGAUCGUCGGAAUAGUACUUUUGCAGGCGAAUUAGUGGAGGUCGGGCGUACAUGACAUUUGAGGCAUAAUUGUCACCACUUCCGCAUUGUAGGAUCCCUUGAUCAUUUACUCUACUU